UACGGGGGGGGCAAGCGUUGUUCGGAAUUACUGGGCGUAAAGGGCUCGUAGGCGGCCAACUAAGUCAGACGUGAAAUCCCUCGGCUUAACCGGGGGACUGCGUCUGAUACUGGAUGGCUUGAAUCCGGGAGAGGGAUGCGGAAUUCCAGGUGUAGCGGUGAAAUGCGUAGAUAUCUGGAGGAACACCGGUGGCGAAGGCGGUUCUCUGGGAAUGUUCUGACGCUGAGGAGCGAAAGUGUGGGGAGCGAACAGG
rnacentral:rRNA from 1 species